rnacentral:rRNA from 1 species
CGAAAGCCUGACGGAGCAAUACCGCGUGAGGGAGGAAGGCUCUUGGGUUGUAAACCUCUUUUCUCAAGGAAGAAGUUCUGACGGUACUUGAGGAAUAAGCAUCGGCUAACUCCGUGCCAGCAGCCGCGGUAAUACGGAGGAUGCAAGCGUUAUCCGGAAUUAUUGGGCGUAAAGCGUCCGCAGGUGGUUACUCAAGUCUGCUGUCAAAGACCAGAGCUUAACUCUGGAAAGGCGGUGGAAACUGAGAAACUAGAGUCCGGUAGGGGUAGCGGGAAUUCCCAGUGUAGCGGUGAAAUGCGUAGAUAUUGGGAAGAACAUCGGUGGCGAAGGCGCGCUACUGGGCCGGAACUGACACUCAGGGACGAAAGCUAGGGGAGCGAAAGGGAUUAGAUACCCCUGUAGUCCUAGCUGUAAACGAUG